rnacentral:ncRNA from 1 species
AACAUCCUUCGGGGCAGGGUGAGGCGUUGUGACGAGCGCCAAUUCCCGACCGGUGGUGACGCGCAAGCGAAGUCCACGAGCCUAAACCGCGUGGUUGGGCAGGAACUGGUGAGAGUCCAGUACCGACGGUACAGUCCGGAUGGGAGAAGGAUGAC